GUCUUGAUAGCUCAGUGGUAGAGCGGGCGACUCCAGUUAACACCGGAAUCCAUCGUCAGGUCGGGCGUUCAAUCCGCUCUCGGGACU